rnacentral:pre_miRNA from 1 species
CGUGUAUUUGACGAUCUGAUCGCACACUCCGUCUGCACCAGAGUGUCAGUUUGUCAAAUAUACAAA